GCUUGGCUGCAGAGUGAGAAGUAGCUGUUGUUCACACACCUCCUAGAAACAGCUAAUGAAUCUAGAAGAGAUCACUUCAGUAAUAAUAUUAAAUUUUUCCUGUAUUCUUGUAGUAAUACUAUUUCCUUUUUCUUAAUUCAGCUAUUUGUCCAGUAUCACUAUCCCAGUCUCUAACUAUAUUAUACAAGUAAAAUUAUCUUAAUAAUGCAGAAAGUAAGUGCUUCAUUAUGUUUCCUUUUCAGGACACCCAAACCAAAACCCAGUAGAAGAAAAAAACCCUCACGUCUCCCAGGUGCCAACAGCUCCCAGUUAAACUUCCCCAGAUCAGGAGUGCUGAAAUUUAACAAGUAGUUUUUAUUGCUGCCAGGCAAAUCUUGACUUAGAAAACCAUUUCUUCAUUAAAAAGGUGCUGGUUCCUGAAUCCCAAAAGGCACCUGAGUCCUGCUGAAUAAACAGUGGUCCCUUGCUCUGCUCUGAGGCACCAGCCUGCUCCACCUGCAGCAGGAGCAGCUGAAGCUCACACAGCAUGAGAAAUGAAGUUUACAGUACAUAUUACAGCAGACUUCCAGAUGAGAGGACGAAGACUAUGAGUGAAGAGUGCCCUGGAGAUCUCCUGCAGUUCUUUUCCUGGCUCAGAACUGGAUUGAUCUGAGAAGAGUAAUUAUGAGGCUGACAUGUAUGUUCUCCUUCAUCUUGCUGUUUGGAGCAGUUGGGCUCGUUGUUUUCAUUCACCUGCAGGAUCCAGAAGAAAUAGUUCAUCAGCAGACACCAGGUUUGUGUGUCUUCAUUGGCAGAAAAACUGGCCUGGUCAGGCUGAAGCUUUUCUAGCAGUUUGAACAUUUUUUAAGAUAUUUUGUCAUGCAA
rnacentral:lncRNA from 1 species